rnacentral:rRNA from 1 species
UGCGCAGGCGGGGAUGUAAGUCAGUGGUGAAAUACUGCCGCUCAACGGUAGAACUGCCAUUGAUACUGCAUCUCUUGAGUAUGGUUGAGGUAGGCGGAAUGUGUUGUGUAGCGGUGAAAUGCAUAGAUAUGACACAGAACGCCAAUUGCGAAGGCAGCUUACUAAACCAUUACUGACGCUGAGGCACGAAAGCGUGGGGAGCGAACAGGAUUAGAUACCCGAGUAGUCC